UCAAGACAGAAAUCAAAAUCGGUCAUUCCGUUUCCAACGUUGCAUAGGUGCGCUUGUUCCUGCAGUAUUUACUUUAAACGUAAAUUUUAUAGUGUUGUGUUUUAGACGUUAAUAAGUGUUUGUGUGGUGUUAAAGGAUUGCAUAGUCUAGCUUAUUUUUCAGCUUAGUCUGAUGCUCAAAAUGCCAACUCAAGCUCGCUGCGAUAGAGUUCCCCCCACAGAUGGGGUAUGGGGCCCGGUAGACCUAAGAAUUCUACAAGAAGACGAUUUACCUUUAGACCCUCGGAGCUGGUGU